rnacentral:lncRNA from 1 species
GUAGAAGUGAAAGUAGAAGUAAAAUAGGUAUAACUACACACAAGGUCAAUGCAGCAGCAGACAACUAGUAGAUUUAGUUGUCUGUAGGAAAUGACAACACACAGUCUAUCUAGUUUGAUUUGUUUCCUAAUAUCCUUUCAGGUUGUAUUACAAUCAUCCAGUGAUCCACAUAACAUUAGGAUGAACCCUGCUAUUCUCCACUCAGGCGGAGAGAGAAAGAUGAUUAAACGAUAAGAUCCUGCAUUUUGGGAAUGUAGGAAAAACAUGUCAAAUGAACAUUCAGAAGAAUAACCAGAGGCACAAUGGCAACCACUAAACAGACUGCUGUGAAGUAUGGUAACCACUAAACAGACUGCUGUGAAGUAUGGCAACCACUAAACAGACUGCUGUGAAGUAUGGCAACCACUAAACAGACUGCUGUGAAGUAUGGCAACCACUAAACAGACUGCUGUGAAGUAUGGCGACCACUAAACAGACUGCUGUGAAGUAUGGUAACCACUAAACAGACUGCUGUGAAGUAUGGUAACCACUAAACAGACUGCUGUGAAGUAUGGCGACCACUAAACAGACUGCUGUGAAGUAUGGCAACCACUAAAUAGACUGCUGUGAAGUAUGGUAACCACUAAACAGACUGCUGUGAAGUAUGGCAACCACUAAACAGACUGCUGUGAAGUAUGUCACAGAUCGCAGACUGGACCUUAUCAGAGCGCUCAAGGAUCUGACACUUAUUGUUGACAAUCUUCAGCAGCUGAGAGUUUUCCUCAGUGAGGAAGUGGAAGUUAUCAAUAGUAAGGAGACAAGAAGUGACAAAGCCAGAGAAAUACUGGACCGAGUCGUUAAAAAGGGGGAAAGAGCAUGUUGUAAGUUACUGAAGAUUCUGUACAUUACGAGACAGAGGAGAUUACCGGAGCCAUCAUCUGAUUCAAAGGACCUAUACCACUGGAUCAGCUGCUUCCCAUUUGAGGAAGACCAAGAGGUGGACACUGUCAUUCUUGAAGGCUCGAUAGCCUGUCAAAGAUAUCAGACACAGCUGAAAUGUAAAGCACGGAAGAUCCCAGAGGGUGCAUGGAAACAAAGCUGUAGUCUCCUAUCAGAGAGAUGUAGAAAUGAGGGGACUUUCUCUUACACCCCUCUUGUGUUAGAUACAGAUGUGCAUUCAUCUGACUCUAAAAUUAAAAUGAAGAAUAA